rnacentral:lncRNA from 13 species
CUCAGCACAAUGCCUUCCACAUGAUGAGUGGUCAGCACGGUGUCACUAUGGUAAUGGGCGGUUAGAUGGCAUUCUCUUUGCCCAGAAUUUGUGCCUGAGAGCAAAGAUGCUGGAUGCCCACACCUUCUAAAGAGGGAGCCAGAACCUCUCUGAAGGAGGGGUCAAGGGGAGUCUAAGGGGUGCUGGGUGUGUCAACCUUGGCCCACCAUCAGUUUACUAAACAUGGCUGAGGGACAGGAGUGACAGUGUUUUGGAGAGGGCUGGGCGUUUCCAUCCACAGGUUGGUAGACAGGAGCAUGCAGCCCAAAAGCUAGGUGAGGGGUGUAGAGAGACUGCUCGCCUGCCGGGAAGGAGGGGAUGCUCUUGUAGAGCAUAGUGUGGCAAAGUGCCUGGCAUUCCAGAGCGGAGCCAUGGUGGGGCCUGCCCAAGGGUCUUCUUGCCAGUGCAGGUGGCUGCAGGCAGAGCACAUGGGUGGGGUGACCCACAGAGGCAGGAACUGGGGAAGCAAGGUGUGAGUUUCCUGUGUGCCUAUGCCUAAGCGUCCCUUAGAUGAGAGAAAUUCAGGGGCUUUGACUCCCCAGUAAGAAAAAUUGAGUUUUAGGAGCACUUUCUUUUCCAAACUCAGAAACUCAGAGCCCAUAUCCCUCAUCUUACAGGAGGGGAAACUGAAGCUUGGGAAUCGGAAUGUGGUAGCUGGUCCCUUGUCCCUGGAGCCUGCUGUCACUGUUCUACUCCUCAGGAUGUUUGGGAAGAGGCAUGUUGGACCCCUGUGUUUCUGGAGGUGCUGUGCCAAGCAUCUUCUUCCUGAAACCACCACUUAUGGGUUGUGCUGAGUAAGUUCUCCAAUAUCUCUAAGCUAAAGUUUCUCCUGGGAAGACUGGAUAAGAUGCAGUGCACCAGGGCUUAGCACAAGGCCAGAUACUCAUUCUAUGGAGCACCAUGGAACACACAUUAUAGAAGCCACUGACGGUUUUGAGAUUCCUUGGGGGAAGACAUCUAGACCUGCUUGAGUCAGAAGAUGCCUUCAUAGCCAGAGUGUCUGCUGAGCCUGGUGCCACUCAGAGAGAGAAAACGACUCUGCAAAACAGUUCAAGGGACUCAGCACUACUCAGGGAGACCUGGAGGGGAAGAGAGGAGAGUGAAAGAGCAGGUGGGGCAGGUUGGAGGGGAAGACAGCCCUCCAGUGAUGACUAGGGUUCCAAAGGGAGCAAACCCUACUGUGGGGAUUUUUUAAAAUUUUCAUGUCAUUUGCUGAGAGGCUGCAAUGUGCCUUCCUUCCCUUG